CAAUAGCGUAUAUUAAAGUUGUUGCAGUUAAAAAGCUCGUAGUUGGAUUUCUGGUGGGAGCGAUCGGUCUGGCGCUUAGCGCGAGUACUUGCAUCGUCUCCGGCCAUCCUUGGGGAGAGUCUGUCUGGCAUUAAGUUGUCGGGCAGAGGAUCCUCAUCGUUUACUGUGAAAAAAUUAGAGUGUUCAAAGCAGGCUUAUGCCGUUGAAUAUAUUAGCCUGGAAUAAUAAGAUAGGACUUUGGUACUAUUUUGUUGGUUUGCGCACCAAAGUAAUGAUUAAUAGGGACAGUUGGGGGUAUUCGUAUUCCGUUGUCAGAGGUGAAAUUCUUGGAUUUACGGAAGACGAACUACUGCGAAAGCAUUUACCUAGGAUGUUUUCAUUAA
rnacentral:rRNA from 1 species